GACGAACGCUGGCGGCGUGCUUAACACAUGCAAGUCGAACGGAAAGGCAUUGAAGCUGUGGGGUGCUAGAGUGGCGAACGGGCGGGUAAGAAGUGCGUAACCAGCCCUUGCCUUUGGGAUAGAUAAAGGAAACUGAGGAUAAUACAGACUAGAAGCUCCUGAUGCACGGCAGGGGGUGAAAAGUUGCGGUGGCUGGGGAGGUUAGCGCGGCAAAGCAGCUGGUUGGUGGGGUAGUGGCUUACCAAGGCGUGGACGGGUAGCCGGACUGAGAGGGUGACCGGCCACAGUGGGACUGGGGAGCGACCCGGACGGAUACUGGAGGCAUCAGCGAGGAAUUGUCCACAAUAGGCGGAAGCCUUAAGCAGCAACUCCGCGUUCUAGAGCACUGCCAUCGGGGUGUAAACCGCUUUCGCCUAUGACUAAGCAGGAUUGACGGUAAUGGGUAAAGAAGCACCGGCUAACUACGUG
rnacentral:rRNA from 1 species